GUAGAAAAGAGUUUGAUCCUAGCUCCGAAUGAACGCUGGCGGGAUGCUGAACACAUGCAAGUUAAAAAAUUAUUAUUUUUUUUUUUUAGCGUACGGGGGAGUAAUGUUUGGGUAUUUACUAAAAUUAAAUAGUUUUGUUUUUUUUAAUAAGCCCAUAUAAGAUUAGGUAGUAGGUGCGGUAAAGGCGUACCUAGCCGAAGAUCUUUAACUGGUCUGAAGAGGACGGUCAGUCACAUUGGAUAUGAGAGACAAUCCAGGCGAAUUUUUUCGGCAGCAGUGGGGAAAAUUGGACAAUGAGCAAGUGCUUGAUCCAGCAAUCUCGCGUGGAUGAUGAAGGCCCUUUUGGUUGUAAAAUCCUUUCGACAAUUAAGAAAAAGACGUUUUUUUGUAGAAGAAGCUCCGGCAAAUUAUGUGCCAGCAGCCGCGGUAAUACAUAAGGAGCAAGUGUUAUUCAAAAUAACUGGGUGUAAAGCGUGCGUGGGCUGUUUUGUUAGCUAUAAGUGAAAUCGUCUGUGAUACAGGCAAUGACUUUUAGAACUUUAAAACUAGAGUACAUUAUGGGAUUAUAGAAUUUCGAAAGUAGGGAUAAAAUCCGCUAAUCUUCGAAGGAAUACCAAAAGCAAAGGCAUUAAUCUUGGAUGUUACUGACGCUAAGGCACGAUAGCAUGGGGAGCAAAAAGGAUCAGAUACCCUAGUAGUCCAUUGCUGUAAACGAUGAGUGUUUAUCUUUUAUUUUUAUAUAAGAGAUUUUAAAGCUAACGCGUUAAACACUUCACCAGAGAAGUACGGCCGCAAGGUUAAAACUCAAAGGAAUUGGCGGGGACUGGCACAAGCGAUGGAGCAUUGCGGUUUAAUGCGAUAAUACACGUAAACCUUACCAAAUUUUGCAUAAUACAGGUGCUACAUGACUGUCGGAAGUUCGUGUUGUGAAAUGUUUGGUUAAGUCCUGUAACGAACGAAACCCUUAUUUAUUGUUGCUAAAAAUUUUUUGGUUUUGCACUCAAUAAAAAUGCUAUAGAAAUAUAGAUGAAACAAAGGAUGACGUCAAGUCUGCAUGGCCUUUAUAAUUUGGGCUACACGCGUGCUACAAUGGUAAUUUCAAUGAGCAGCAAUAGUUUAAACUGGAGCGAAUCUUUAACAAUUAUCAAAGUUCGGAUUGUCUUCUGCAACUCGAAGAUAUGAAGUUGGAAUCGCUAGUAAUCGCGGAUCAGCAUGCCGUGGUGAAUAUGUACUCUGGUCUUGCACAUACCGCCCAUCAUGGUAUUGGAGUGUGUUUUUCUUUAACUUUUUAUUUUUAUUUAACAUGAUUCAUUUUUUUUUUCUUGAAUAAAAAACGUUUUAUUUUAAUAUUAAGUAAAAAAUCGCAGAGAAGUACAUGACAAAACUAAAGUUGUAACAAGGUAGCCGUACGGGAACGUGUGGCUGGAAAAAACUCUAA
rnacentral:rRNA from 1 species